CUCUGGUGGCAGACACCCUUCUUUUCCCUGCCUCACCCAUGGCGUGGGCUGCAGGCCCUUCUUCUGGGUCUGAUCCUGCUGCCGUGGAUUCUGUCCACUGUCCUCUGCUUUUCCCCCAUCCGGUCUUCCCAGGGAUUUCACCCUAUCUUAGUCACCUAAGCUGCCACCAGGCUGUCUUUCUAGAAUCUCCUUGUUGAAACCCAGGAUCAGCUUCCCAUGGCCCAAAUCCCAAACGCUAAUGCCGAGACGGUUCGAGGCUCAGCAGGUCCCUGGCUCUCUUUGCACCUCCACCUCCUUCCCACUGCCCUGUCCAGCCUUCCCUCCUGCUGUGCCCCGUCAUGCCUUCCAGUUGGCUGGUCAUAUCACCAGCAUUUCUGGAAUGUUCCUGCUGUCUCUUGCUCCAUACCUUUGACUCCAUCUGGCAUGCCUAUCUCCAUUUCUCCACCUAAAAAGCCUGAUUCACCCUCCAGGACUCUGCUGCAAGAGCGCUUCAUCUGUGAAGCCUUUCCCCCUGCCCUGCGGAGUCUCUAGCCCCUCAGACCAGGCAUCAGUCAUUCACGCAGAGGCCCGACCCACCGCCUGCCGGGGCCUCAAGGAGAAGUUGGCCAUAAGCUUUGGGGGGAGGAAGGCAGAGCUUGCCAGGACAUCAGCAAGGAAUAAGAACGAGCAGGGAAGGAGAGGAAGUGCCUGUGGGGCAUCUCUGGCGCUGUGGGGUCACGUCAAAACAGGCAGAUCAGGGGGAGAAAGGGACACAUUUCAUUACCUUCCUAUGGCGAAUCCACAUGGAUGAAGAUUCUAAGGAAAGUGAGGCCAAAGGGGGCUUUGUCCCCAGCUGAGGACUGGGAUGGGGGCCUGGGGCUUCAAGGAGGGGGACCCCACAACGAGGUCUGCACCGGCCUUUGCUUUGAAUGGAGAUGGGCUUCUCUGAGGGAAGGGAUGUUUCUGGUAGUAACCCGAGUUCUGGGUUAUUCCCCCAAAUUUCACUCUUCCAGUAGUGAAGGGGGGAUAAGAGUUUCUCUUGAGCCCGAAGGGCCUCAAGUGACCUCAGCUCCAAAUUAUCCACAUGCCAAAGUGACACCUCUUAGGAAGGCCAGUUUUGGCCGUCUUGGGGAGACCUGUCUGAACAUCUUGGGAAGCUUCCGCAGCACCUUGGAGAGACCUGGCCCUCUGCAUGCCCCAGGAAGAGUCUGAGGGCGCAGCAUCCAUGGGGCACCUCUGGGAGCCACUGCUGAGGCAGCCGCACCUGCCCCUAGCGCCCAGCUCAGCACCUUGCACACGUCACUGGCUGGAGCGAAGUGGCUUGGAAACACCCGGCUGAGCACUGGGCACAGUCAGAAGCGCAGGAGGGCGAGAGAAUUCACCCGAGCCAGAGCGGGGAGCAGAGCAGGCAGAAGGAC